GCUGCACUAGAGGAAUGGCAACGCGCCGGCCUCCUAAGCUGGAGAUUCUGGGUUUGAGUCCCAGGUGCAGUG